GAUGAACGCUGGCGGCGUGCCUAAUCCUUGCUAGUCGAUCGACGCGGAGACGGGUGAGUAACACGUGGAUACCCUCCUUUAAGACUGGGAUACCUUCGGGAAACCGGCGCUUAACCGGAUACUUCUAUAUGGAUCCGCGCUGCAUUAGCUAGUUGGUAAGGUAACGGCUUACCAAGGCAACGAUGCAUAGCCGACCUGCGAGGGUGAUCGGCCACACUGGAACGGAGACACGGUCCAGACUCCUACGGGAGGCAGCAGUAGGGAAUCUUCCGCAAUGGGCGAAAGCCUGACGGAGCAACGCCGCGUGAGUGAUGAAGGUCUUCGGAUCGUAAAACUCUGUUAUUAGGGAAGCGGUACCUAAUCAGAAAGCAACGGCUAAGAAAGGGCCAGCAGCCGCGGUAAUAC
rnacentral:rRNA from 1 species